rnacentral:rRNA from 1 species
UACGAAGGGGGCUAGCGUUGCUCGGAAUCACUGGGCGUAAAGGGUGCGUAGGCGGGUUUUUAAGUCAGGGGUGAAAUCCUGGAGCUCAACUCCAGAACUGCCUUUGAUACUGAAGAUCUUGAGUUCGGGAGAGGUGAGUGGAACUGCGAGUGUAGAGGUGAAAUUCGUAGAUAUUCGCAAGAACACCAGUGGCGAAGGCGGCUCACUGGCCCGAUACUGACGCUGAGGCGCGAAAGCCAGGGGAGCGAACGGG